CUUUAAUUACGAAAUCUUUGAAUUUAUAAGAAUGUCUUUGAAUUUACAAAGAUGGUGGAGAAAUUUUUUAGUACAAGUGAUAGUAUGCUUUUUCAGUGUGUUUUCUUUCGUGAGAGGUGUGUGUAUUUAUAGACGCUGGUACAUCACGUCUAUUAUGUUAGUACUGUAAGUGUGGCAUCAAUAAUUGAAUAAUACUGUGCAAACUUUACAUGUGUGCGAUCAAAAAUCAAAGAAAAAUAAAUAAUGUGCAAUUCUCCAUGUGAGUAAUUAAUGAAUGAAUUAUUUGAAAAAAUACUUCUGAUAACUUUUGUCUUCACGCCUGACUUUUCUUGAAAUAUGAGAAUCAACUUUGUAGAGAAUCUUUGAAAUAUUUUUAAAGUUUUAUCUUUACGCCUCUUCUUUUUGGCUUCCUUGUUUUGCUAAUUAUUUCUCCAAUUUUCUAUCUCGUCUUCAUUUGUCCAUCAUUUUUGCUAUGGCUUCUUCUAGUUUUGGAUCCAUCUCAUUAUCGUUGCCAUCCGAUAUAUAGGUUUCCUCUUCUGUUUUUGAUAGGGUUUUUGUAAAUUCUCCAUUAGUCUCUUGAAACGCCAUCAGAUAUAAAUUCUUUUAUUCAAUAUUUGGUAUUAGAAUUUUUUUGGUUUAGUUCUCAUGGCAAGGUGCUCUUGACAGAAAAUAAUUUCGUUAUUCCAUUGUGCUAUUAAUCUGAAAUCAUUAUUUUGAACUUCCAUCAUGAUUGCGAUUUCUGAUAUUCUUCUUUCAUAAUUAAUCUGUCUAAUUUUUAUUUUAAUAUUCGUUCUUGAAGAGGGUCUAGAUCUUUUGGUUCCUUCACAAAUUAAAAUACGAUGAUAAAUGAAUUGAACCGUUAAGGGAUGGUCUUUUAACUGAUCAAGAAUCUAUUUUAGUUUUGAUGGAAAAAAUAGGAAAAAUCUGUUUAAUAUGUAUGUAGUAUCUAUCAUACCAAACUGUAAAGCUGGGUAAAAGAGGUUUUCUUCUUCAAAGAUUGUAUAAUCAAAGGAAAUUGUUGGAUAAUUGUGAUUAAGAGAGGCUGAAUUUUGGGCUGCAUCGUAUUUGGGACCAUGUCUAAGGAAGUAUCUAUUUUCAUUGUAAUAGUAACUGAAAAUUUGAGCAAAAUCUAGAAUUUCCUGUGCAAUGGAAUUUUUUAUAGAACUUCGAAUAAUACUGGCGCAAUCACCAAUUUUCUGUUCUAAUUUGAUAAAAUCUUUUCCUGUCCUGCAACUGUAGAAUCUGUUAGUUCAAUAAGUCAUUCUAUUUUAUCAAAAUAAUUUCUACUUGUAGAGGCGAUGUCUUUAGAUUCAAAAUAAUUUCUAUUAUAUAUAUAGAUUCAAAUGUAAAAAUUAUAUACGUAUGAAAGUAUAAUUCAAUACAACCCAAAAUAAUUAAAAAAAUAUACGAUACAACCUUAGUCUAUAACUGUAAACUUAGAUAAUUGUAUUCCACGAGAUCUCAUAUUUUGAAAAUGGUGCAAAAAUGCUUCAAUUAGAAUUGAUUAAAAAAAAAAAGUACCAAGUAAACACAAGUUGAAUUGAGCCUAACAUCUUCUUAAUUAAAAUUUUUCACUUAUCCUAAUUUUCUAAACAUAAAUUUUCAAAUCAAUAAUCAUAAUUCAUAAAGCAUGUAUUACUUAUUAUAAAUCACAAUCACAAUUCUCUGCAAUAUGUAAUAAAUCACAAGUCACAAAACAUAAAUCAUAGUUCAUAACUCAUUAUUUAUCAAAACAUAAAUCAUAGUUCAUAACUCAUUAUUUAUAAGACUAAUAACAAUUAACACAAUUUACAGACAACAGGUCACAACAUUCAUUAUUCAACAAAUCAAGUACAAAUAGUCAACAAAACAAAAAAAGAAAAAGAAACAGCAACAAAAUAUAAAAAAACAAAAGCAAAAAGAAAGAGAGAAAUAGAGUAAGAGAAGAAAUGCGCUCACAUCACAGUCACGGCACUCACCAGGCAUUGCGAAGGCCGGAGGCUGCUAGUCGUAAGUUGAGCUCAAAUAUUCUGAUUUCUGAGACCACUGGUCCACUGACCACCAGAACAGGAACCUCAGAAGGGAGGAAUGACAGUCGACAGACACGUCAUUGGCGACGUGGUCUCAGCUUCAGAAUGAAAAUGCUGAAUGAGAAUGGAAUUAGGAAAGGAAAAAAAGGGUUUGCAGCAGGCUUUCGGCUUCUAGGAAUGAGAAAUUGGGGAUUGAUUUCACGAUUUGGUAAUUUGGAGUUUGGACCAUCGUUGAUUUGGGGGAAAAGAGAAUUGGUUG
rnacentral:lncRNA from 1 species